UAUCAAUAAGCGGAGGAAAAGAAACCAACAGGGAUUGCCCUAGUAACGGCGAGUGAAGCGGCAACAGCUCAAAUUUGAAAUCUGGCGCAAGCCCGAGUUGUAAUUUGUAGAGGAUGCUUCUGGGCAGCGGCCGGUCUAAGUUCCUUGGAACAGGACGUCACAGAGGGUGAGAAUCCCGUAUGUGACCGGCGCGCACCCUCCACGUAGCUCCUUCGACGAGUCGAGUUGUUUGGGAAUGCAGCUCUAAAUGGGAGGUAAAUUUCUUCUAAAGCUAAAUACCGGCCAGAGACCGAUAGCGCACAAGUAGAGUGAUCGAAAGAUGAAAAGCACUUUGGAAAGAGAGUUAAAAAGCACGUGAAAUUGUUGAAAGGGAAGCGCUUGCAACCAGACUCCGUGGCGGUGUUCCGCCGGUCUUCUGACCGGUCCACUCGCCGCCGCGGGGCCAACAUCGUCUGGGGCCGCCGGACAAGACUGGAGGAAUGUGGCUCCCUCGGGAGUGUUAUAGCCUUCAGUGAUGCGGCGCGUCCCGGGCGAGGUCCGCGCUUCGGCAAGGAUGUUGGCGUAAUGGUUGCCAGCGGCCCGUCUUGAAACACGGACCAAGGAGUCUAACAUCUAUGCGAGUGUUCGGGUGUCAAACCCCUACGCGUAAUGAAAGUGAACGGAGGUGGGAGCUUCGGCGCACCAUCGACCGAUCCUGAUGUCCUCGGAUGGAUUUGAGUAAGAGCAUAGCUGUUGGGACCCGAAAGAUGGUGAACUAUGCCUGAAUAGGGUGAAGCCAGAGGAAACUCUGGUGGAGGCUCGCAGCGGUUCUGACGUGCAAAUCGAUCGUCAAAUUUGGGUAUAGGGGCGAAAGACUAAUCGAACCAUCUAGUAGCUGGUUCUGC
rnacentral:rRNA from 1 species